rnacentral:rRNA from 1 species
AUUGAACGCUGGCGGCAGGCCUAACACAUGCAAGUCGAACGAGUGGCGGACGGGUGAGUAAUGUCUGGGAAACUGCCCGAUGGAGGGGGAUAACUACUGGAAACUGUAGCUAAUACCGCGUACCAUAGGAUGAGCCCACGUGGGAUUAGGUAGUUGGUGAGGUAAAGGCUCACCAAGCCGACGAUCCCUAGCUGGUCUGAGAAGAUUACAAGCCACACGGGACUGUGUACACGGCCCAGACCCCUACGGGAGGCAGCAGUGGGGAAGAUUGUGCAAGGGGGGAAACCCGAACGCAGCCAGGCCGCGUGAAUGAAGAAGGCCUUCGUGUUGUAAAGGUCUUUCGGUAGCGAGGCGUUAACUAAAGAAGAAGCACCGGCUAACUCCGUGCCAGCCGCCGCGGUAAUUC